rnacentral:lncRNA from 1 species
CCAUUUCCUUCUCUCUCUCUUGGUGUGGUUGGGAGGAGGGAGUGUAUUGGUCAAACUUUGACCGUUGUGGUCGAUCCAACCAGGACCUCGGCCAAAUGGCGGGAUAAGAAAAGUCAUCGUGACUUGCUCCAAACCCAGUGCUCACGCUGUCUGCGAACAACACUUACGGAAUGACGAAAACGGACGUGGUAUAAAAGUGCUUUGACCC